CCUACGGGAGGCAGCAGUGAGGAAUAUUUGUCAAUGGGCGCGAGCCUGAACCAGCCAAGUAGCGUGAAGGAUGGCUGCCCUACGGGUUGUAAACUUCUUUUAUAAAGGAAUAAAUUGAGACACGUGUGCCUUUUUGUAUGUACUUUAUGAAUAAGGAUCGGCUAACUCCGGGCCAGCAGCCGCGGUAAUACGGAGGAUCCGAGCGUUAUCCGGAUUUAUUGGGUGUAAAGGGAGCGUAGGUGGGUUGUUAAGUCAGUUGUGAAAGUUUGCGGCUCAACCGUAAAAUUGCAAUUGAUACUGGCAGUCUUGAGUACAGUUGAGGUAGGCGGAAUUCGUGGUGUAGCAGUGAAAUGCUUAGAUAUCACGAAGAACUCUGAUUGCGAAGGCAGGUUACUGAACUGCAACUGACAUUGAGGCUCGAAAGUGUGGGUAUCAAAAAGGAUUAGAUACCCCAGUAGUC
rnacentral:rRNA from 1 species